rnacentral:rRNA from 1 species
UACAGAGGGGGCAAGCGUUGUUCGGAUUUAUUGGGCGUAAAGAGCGUGUAGGCGGCUAGGUAGGUCCGUUGUGAAAACUCGAGGCUCAACCUCGAGCUGUCGAUGGAAACCAUCUGGCUAGAGUCCGGAAGAGGAGAGUGGAAUUCCUGGUGUAGCGGUGAAAUGCGUAGAUAUCAAGAGGAACACCUGAGGCGAAGGCGGGUUGCUAGGCUGACACUGACGCUGAAGCGCGAAAGCCAGGGGAGCAAACGGG